UACGUAGGGGGCAAACGUUGUCCGGAUUUAUUGGGCGUAAAGCGCUCGCAGGCGGCUCGAUGCGUCGUGCGUGAAACACCCCGGCUCAACUGGGGAGGGUCGUGCGAUACGGUCGGGCUUGAGGCCAGUAGGGGGAUGCGGAAUUCCGGGUGUAGCAGUGAAAUGCGUAGAUAUCAGGAGGAACGCCAAUGGCGAAGGCAAGUCUCUGGACAGUUCCUGACGCUCAUGCACGAAGGCCAGGGGAGCAAACGGG
rnacentral:rRNA from 1 species